UAAACCUGCCUCUUAGCGGGGGAUAACUAUUGGAAACGAUAGCUAAUACCGCAUAAAAGUCGAUAUCGCAUGAUAUUGAUUUGAAAGGUGCAAUUGCAUCACUAAGAGAUGGACCUGCGUUGUAUUAGCUAGUUGGUGAGGUAACGGCUCACCAAGGCGACGAUACAUAGCCGACCUGAGAGGGUGAUCGGCCACACUGGGACUGAGACACGGCCCAG
rnacentral:rRNA from 1 species